GCGGGAGUGGCUCAGUGGUAGAGCGCUUCCUUGCCAAGGAAGAUGUCGCGGGUUCGAAUCCCGUCUCCCGCUC
rnacentral:tRNA from 2 species